GAAACUCCUCGGGAUUCUCCGUACACCGAGCUCUGAUCCGUAAAUUCUGUUUGACGUGUUGAAGUGCUUCUUAAGGAGAAUUCUGGGGAGAUUUCUUACUCUUUCAAUCCUCAAGUAUGGAGCAGCACAGUGGACCUGUGC